GGCUUGGUGGCGGAGUGGUACGUGCCUGUCUCAUUUGAGAGUGUAGGGAGAAAUUUAUACAGGAGAUGCCUGUUCGACUCAGGCUCGAGCCA